AGAUUGCAAAACAGCAGCGACUUAGUCACAUUCUUAAGAUUUGGGAUUCACUAUCAGCACCUUCAACGCUUGCAUCUUCAUCGCCAGAAGCACCAUUAGAACCUUCUGCCCUCAGCUUCUUCAUCGCCAGGAGCACCACCAGUACCUUCUACCCUCAGCUCCUUCAUCGCCAGGAGCACCAUGAGUACCUUCCGCCCUCAGCACCUUCAACGCCAGGAGCACCUUCAAAGUGUACGUCCAACUUUUGCAAAGUUGUAAGAAAACUUAAUUUUUCUAACCCACCAUAAAUGAUUUGCAACUCUUAAUAUAUAUCAAAAGAAAGGUAAACCGAUUCGAUAUUGUGUAACAACACGUACCCUGCCAGCCAAAAGUGGUGAAAAA